CUCGUAGGCGGUUCGUCGCGUCCGGUGUGAAAGUCCAUCGCUUAACGGUGGAUCCGCGCCGGGUACGGGCGGGCUUGAGUGCGGUAGGGGAGACUGGAAUUCCCGGUGUAACGGUGGAAUGUGUAGAUAUCGGGAGGAACACCAGUGGCGAAGGCGGCUUCCUGGCACACAACUGACGCUCAUGUGCGAAAGCCAGGGCAGCGAACG
rnacentral:rRNA from 1 species